rnacentral:rRNA from 1 species
UAGCAUAUCAAUAAGCGGAGGAAAAGAAACCAACAGGGAUUGCCCCAGUAACGGCGAGUGAAGCGGCAACAGCUCAAAUUUGAAAUCUGGCCCCAGGCCCGAGUUGUAAUUUGCAGAGGAUGCUUUUGGCGAGGCGCCUUCCGAGUUCCCUGGAACGGGACGCCAUAGAGGGUGAGAGCCCCGUAAGGUCGGACGCCGAGCCUCUGUAAAGCUCCUUCGACGAGUCGAGUAGUUUGGGAAUGCUGCUCAAAAUGGGAGGUAAAUUUCUUCUAAAGCUAAAUACAGGCCAAAGACCGAUAGCGCACAAGUAGAGUGAUCGAAAGAUGAAAAGCACUUUGAAAAGAGGGUUAAACAGCACGUGAAAUUGUUGAAAGGGAAGCGCUCGUGACCAGACUUGCGCCCGGCGGAUCAGCCAGCGUUCUCGCUGGUGCCUCCGCCGGGUCCAGGCCAGCAUCGGUUUCCGCGGGGGGAUAAAGGCCAUGGGAACGUGACUCCCCCGGGAGUGUUAUAGCCCUAGGCAGAAUACCGCCGCGGGGACCGAGGACCGCGCUUCGGCAAGGAUGCUGGCGUAAUGGUCACCAGCGACCCGUCUUGAAACACGGACCAAGGAGUCAAGCAUUAGGGCGAGUGUCUGGGUGUAAAACCCGCACGCGUAAUGAAAGUAAACGCUGGUGAGAGCUUCGGCGCAUCAUCGACCGAUCCUGAUGUUCUCGGACGGAUUUGAGUAAGAGCCUUACCGCUUGGACCCGAAAGUUGAUGAACUAUGCCUGUAUAGGGUGAAGCCAGAGGAAACUCUGGUGGAGGCUCGCAGCGGUUCUGACGUGCAAAUCGAUCGUCAAAUAUGGGCAUGGGGGGCGAAAGACUAAUCGAAUCAACUAGUAGCUGGUUGCCGCGAU